AUGCCUUAAACUUAUGAGUAAGGAAAAUAACAAUUCAGGGUAACACCCGAGUCCUCAAUGCUAAUGAGACAAAUUAUUGAGCAGGUAAAGGCUGCUCCUGAGAGUGACCUGCCUACUUUGGGGGAUGCCUAGGUGUUGCAAUCUGCCCA
ensembl:snRNA U12 U12 minor spliceosomal RNA